rnacentral:rRNA from 1 species
GACGAACCGUGCGAACGUUGUUCGGAAUCACUGGGCAUAAAGGGCGCGUAGGCGGCUUGUCAAGUCAGGGGUGAAAGCCUGGAGCUCAACUCCAGAACUGCCAUUGAAACUGUUAGACUUGAGUACGAGAGAGGUGAGUGGAAUUCCCAGUGUAGAGGUGAAAUUCGUAGAUAUUGGGAAGAACACCAGUGGCGAAGGCGGCUCACUGGCUCGUAACUGACGCUCAGGCGCGACAGCGUGGGGAUCAAACAGG